CCUACGGGGGGCAGCAGUGGGGAAUAUUGGUCAAUGGACGAGAGUCUGAACCAGCCAAGUAGCGUGAAGGAUGACUGCCCUAUGGGUUGUAAACUUCUUUUAUAUGGGAAUAAAAUGUUCCACGUGUGGGCUUUUGUAUGUACCAUAUGAAUAAGGAUCGGCUAACUCCGUGCCAGCAGCCGCGGUAAUACGGAGGAUCCGAGCGUUAUCCGGAUUUAUUGGGUUUAAAGGGAGCGUAGGUGGAUUGUUAAGUCAGUUGUGAAAGUUUGCGGCUCAACCGUAAAAUUGCAGUUGAAACUGGCAGUCUUGAGUACAGUAGAGGUGGGCGGAAUGCGUGGUGUAGCGGUGAAAUGCUUAGAUAUCACGAAGAACUCCGAUUGCGAAGGCAGCUCACUGGACUGCAACUGACACUGAGGCUCGAAAGUGUGGGUAUCAAACAGGAUUAGAUACCCCUGUAGUC
rnacentral:rRNA from 1 species